CGCGGCAGGCCUAACACAUGCAAGUCGAACGGUAACAGGAAAAAGCUUGCUUUUUUGCUGACGAGUGGCGCACGGGUGCGUAACGCGUAUACAAUCUACCUUUUACAGUGGGAUAGCCUUUAGAAAUGAAGAUUAAUACCGCAUAGUAUGAUGACUUGGCAUCAAGAUAUCAUUAAAGAUUUAUCGGUAAAAGAUGAGUAUGCGUUCUAUUAGCUAGAUGGUAAGGUAACGGCUUACCAUGGCGACGAUAGAUAGGGGCCCUGAGAGGGGGAUCCCCCACACUGGUACUGAGACACGGACCAGACUCCUACGGGAGGCAGCAGUGAGGAAUAUUGGACAAUGGGCGCAAGCCUGAUCCAGCCAUGCCGCGUGCAGGAAGACUGCCCUAUGGGUUGUAAACUGCUUUUAUACAGGAAGAAACACCUCUACGUGUAGAGGCUUGACGGUACUGUAAGAAUAAGGAUCGGCUAACUCCGUGCCAGCAGCCGCGGUAAU
rnacentral:rRNA from 1 species